rnacentral:rRNA from 1 species
CCUACGGGAGGCUGCAGUGGGGAAUAUUGGACAAUGGGGGGAACCCUGAUCCAGCCAUGCCGCGUGUGUGAAGAAGGCCCUCGGGUUGUAAAGCACUUUCAGUGAGGAAGAACGCCUGGUGGUUAAUACCCAUCAGGAAAGACAUCACUCACAGAAGAAGCACCGGCUAACUCCGUGCCAGCAGCCGCGGUAAUACGGAGGGUGCGAGCGUUAAUCGGAAUUACUGGGCGUAAAGCGCGCGUAGGUGGCUUGAUAAGCCGGUUGUGAAAGCCCCGGGCUCAACCUGGGAACGGCAUCCGGAACUGUCAAGCUAGAGUGCAGGAGAGGAAGGUAGAAUUCCCGGUGUAGCGGUGAAAUGCGUAGAGGUCGGGAGGAAUACCAGUGGCGAAGGCGGCCUUCUGGACUGACACUGACACUGAGGUGCGAAAGCGUGGGUAGCAAACAGGAUUAGAUACCCGUGUAGUC